rnacentral:rRNA from 1 species
GAUGAACGCUGGCGGCGUGCCUAAUACAUGCAAGUCGAGCGAACGGACGAGAAGCUUUCUUCUCUGAUGUUAGCGGCGGACGGGUGAGUAACACGUGGAUAACCUACCUAUAAGACUGGGAUAACUUCGGGAAACCGGAGCUAAUACCGGAUAAUAUUUUGAACCGCAUGGUUCAAAAGUGAAAGACGGUCUUGCUGUCACGUAUAGAUGGAUCCGCGCUGCAUUAGCUAGUUGGUAAGGUAACGGCUUACCAAGGCAACGAUGCAUAGCCGACCUGAGAGGGUGAUCGGCCACACUAGAACUGAGACACGGUCCAGACUCCUACGGGAGGCAGCAGUAGGGAAUCGUCCGCAAAGGGCGAAAGCCUGACGGAGCAACGCCGCGUGAGUGAUGAAGGUCUUCGGAUCGUAAAACUCUGUUAUUAGGGAAGAACAUAUGUGUAAGUAACUGUGCACAUCUUGACGGUACCUAAUCAGAAAGCCACGGCUAACUACGUG